GGCUCUGCGGCGCAAUGGAUAGCGCGUUGGACUUCUAGUGAGCAUUGAGAGAUUCAAAGGUUGUAGGUUCGAGUCCCACCAGAGUCA
rnacentral:tRNA from 1 species